GCUCUCUUCUCUUUUCGUUCUCAUCCGCUCCUGGACGUGCUCCCGUAGCCUGCGUAACGCGUGAUCAUUAACAAUUGUAUUUAGUGACAUCUCGGGAAUCCAAUAAAAAAUGGUCUACCCACGAGGUAGCCAAACAUUUAUAACAUCGGGGUUAGCAGCUUGGUCAGGAGGGAGGUAAAAUGAGGCGAUGACUAGGGAAACAUCGAAAACUUUUAUAUGCACCUAAAGAAACUCAAUUGAUGAUGUAUUAGUAGUGCACAGGAAAGCUGCAUAUAUGAUAUUCGUACCAUGAGAACGCCUCCACCAAUACAUUUAUCACUAUUUAUGGCAGAGCGAUCCAAUCGGAAGGUAUUGUAGCGGUGGCUGUCAAACAAUAGAGAAGAUGGGUAACUAUCGGCGAGCCAGGUUUCGAUAAUUUUUGGUGCAACUCUCGUAAUAAAAAUCCAUGUUUUUGGUUCUGGUGCUGGUAAAAACUGUAUAGCGCUGUUCAUGGUUAAAUCGUUAGAAGUGCCAGUGUGGAGAGCUGGAUGAGAGAAUUCAGUGAUCGACGUUUCGGAAAGCCCUGAUGGGUGUGUGCGUGAAAUAGUGCCUAAUUAAACGGAUUUAGGUGUGGAUGACUCUAUAUUAUGCACUUGAAGCUGUAUUUGUAGGUUUAGUUUAUGGUAAUUUGAAUGAAGGCAAAUCACUCAUCAAACCAGCAAUAGAAGAAGCGAAGUUGGCUCUUGAUUCACGACUCCUUUCACACAUCCAGCAAAGGCCACGAUUACGGGCCCUAACCUUAACUCAAGUUGCAGCGAUUUUAAUGCAUUAAACGCAGCCUUGUAUCUCGAAAAAGGAAAUCUUCCACAGCAGAGAACAGGAUCCUUGGUGAUGGUAGUAGAGCAGAUGGCACAAUCUAUUGGGAUGAGAAAGAAUGUUCCAAUGCGUGAGGUGUAGUAGUGAGAGCAGUCUCGGGGUAACGACACCACCAAGACAUGGCGAACAGCAACCGAACGCACGAACACACAAUUAAUUAGCAGCUUUAACGCAAGCAGCAACAUAACGAAAUCCAUUCAAGUGCAGAAACAGCAAGCUCACCAACACCAGCAACAAUCCGUUUCAAAGGUGACUCCUCAACUCAUGAUCGACAAUCAACGCAAAAACAACUAGUUCAAAGUGUGAAACAAGAGCGGCACAAAAACACGUCUGAACUCCUCGAUGUUAUGAUUGUUAAAAAAAUUGUCCAACUUAAACAAAAAAUAAACUAAUCUAAAAAAGAAAAUUGAACUACUUACAGAAACUAUCAAAAACAUGCAAAUCGAACAAACCAAAUUUAUUAACACUUUUAUUCAAAACAAAACCAUCGAUAAAUUUGAAACAAUGGACCAAUCCGAAGAGUCUGACUCUUCUUUAUCCCCGCUUGGCAAAGAGUAACUCAUUUUGAUGCCUCUCGCUACCCCUGGCCCCAGUUUUAAAGG